AUUGAACGCUGGCGGCAGGCUUAACACAUGCAAGUCGAGCGGAGAGAGGUAGCUUGCUACUGAUCUUAGCGGCGGACGGGUGAGUAAUGCUUAGGAAUCUGCCUAUUAGUGGGGGACAACAUUUCGAAAGGAAUGCUAAUACCGCAUACGUCCUACGGGAGAAAGCAGGGGAUCUUCGGACCUUGCGCUAAUAGAUGAGCCUAAGUCGGAUUAGCUAGUUGGGGGGGUAAAGGCCUACCAAGGAGACGAUCUGUAGCGGGUCUGAGAGGAUGAUCCGCCACACUGGGACUGAGACACGGCCCAGACUCCUACGGGAGGCAGCAGUGGGGAAUAUUGGACAAUGGGCGCAAGCCUGAUCCAGCCAUGCCGCGUGUGUGAAGAAGGCCUUAUGGUUGUAAAGCACUUUAAGCGAGGAGGAGGCUACUUUAGUUAAUACCUAGAGAUAGUGGACGUUACUCGCAGAAUAAGCACCGGCUAACUCUGUGCCAGCAGCCGCCGUAACAC
rnacentral:rRNA from 1 species